rnacentral:misc_RNA from 1 species
CAUUUUGAACAGUUUUAAGCUCCUCAUCACCAUCAGUUAAGCCAUAGGGCGUCCACUGCUGGGGCAAAAUUCUGCUAAUUAGUCAUAAAUACUCAUUAUUUAACAUGAAUAUACUAAAGAUAGACGUGCCAUACAGAGAUGUAAGGAAACAAAUAUAAGACUUGGAAAAGUGUCAUAUUAUUUUGUUGUUUUUGAGCAUGAACCUAUACAUAAAUUAAGUAUGUAAAUCCGUGUUUUUGAAUGUUUAUUUAUCUGAUAGGGUUGUUUCCUAGUCUUCACUCAAUAAAAAAUAGAUAACUGCACCAAAAGUUCUCAAAACUAGAAACACCAUAAGCGAUAUAUUAUUUAUAACCGACAUAUAAUUCUUAAUUGAUUUAUAAAAUUAAAAAUCGCUUAAUACGCCAUCAAAAACGGCGAAUAGUAGAGACCAAGAUGUAGCGACGACGUCAUUUUACAUUACAUUUGACAAUGACAAUUAUUUGACAGUGACAAAUAUAUUACCGAAAUAACCUCAGAAUUAAUGUGUUACUGUGUUAUUCACUUCUGUUUGUUAAUUGUAUUUGAGCGAUAGAAUCAUUACGCAGAGAUCAAUUCUUUGCCAAUAACCAACAUUUUUAUUCAGCGAAAUUCAAAAACGUAAAAACUUCUCUUUCUUCUAUGCAGUCGUACGGUGACCAAGACCAAUGUGUGUGAUAAAGUGCAAAAUAUGUCCCAAACAAUAAUGUGCGCCUGAAACCAUACACAAUGACAAUGACAGUCAAUAAAAAGAUUUUUAUGUAAAUACCUAAUAUCAUUUGUGAUGACUGCCCUGCCUCUUGAGGGUGGAUGUAGCAAGCAUGCAGUAGCAGAUUGAUUAUGAUGAACAAUUCAUCAAAAUUAUUAUGCGGACAUCUGUGAACUUUUGGGAAACAAAUAUAUUUCCAUUGUUAUAAAAAUAAAACAUGAUAAAUAAAAA